GUAAACAGUGCCUGCCAAACGGAAAAUUUUAUGCACAACGGCUAUACUAUGUUCAUUCAUCAUCUGAACUCUUAAGUAAAUUCUACCAAAAUUAAUGAUGAGAGUAUAUUCCGUCUACCUCUCCAUGACUUGCGGUGCUUAUUUAUAGAAUCCUCUGUAACACUUUUCGACUCACUCCUCUCAUCUUUGCCAGAAAAGGGGCCAUGGCUCACAAGAUAUUCAGUUUCCUGGUGGAUGCAACUCUGUCCGGGGUGCUUUCACUCAUCAUAUAUCAAAUCAUCCUUGCUUGGAAUCUCAAUGACGACUCGAAAGGCCUUCAAGAUUCUCUCACCAUGAUUCGUGCUGUGCUUCAAGAUGCAGACGAACAACAACACAGGAGAGAACCUGUGAGGCUUUGGCUGAAGAAGCUCAAAGAUGUAGCUUAUGAGGGUGAAGCCGUGUUAAAUAAGUUAAAGAACGACGAUAUUCGACAAAUGGUUGAGAUUCUAGACCAAUCAGGAACAGAGGUGCAGAAGAUACUGUUGCAGACUUGUGUGUAGAAGUCGCAGAUCUGUUUCCAACUCUUAGGGCUUGUAAAAUUGUCUUAAAGUUUCAUGCACGCUUGAAGAUACUGUGGACUGGUAGCUAUGGAACUUCAUGAAGGGAAUGUUGGGAGAUAGUCUUCCAUAUAGUACUUCACGAGAGACUGCGAGAUGCAAGAUUAUGCCAGACGCACAGCUGCAUUAUUUUCUCUGCAAAUUUCUGCUUUUAUUCAAGCCAAUUGGAAAAGAAAAAAAAAAUCAUUCAACUGAGAAGAAAGGUAAGUGAGACAUUCUAUUUUAUUUCCAAAAGAUAUUUGAAUUUCAGUCAUUAGUAAACUCUAAUUACAAUGUUCACAGAUGAACUGUUUAUUGUUCUGCUUUCAGUAUGUCUCAACUUUGUCCCACUGAUAGACAAAAAAUUUAGCCUUUUGUUAGCUCCUUCUGGGAUUAUGACUGCUAAAUUUUGAGUUCAAGCAAUAAGACUAAACAGAAAUAGAGAUAAGUUUACAUCACAACUCGAGCUUUGAGUCUCAAGUUCUCAUCACGGUGCCAACAUCCUUCCGCUAAAAUCGACUAGAGAACCAAGAAGCCUCACUUUGCAAUUGGAAGCCAUUAGAUGGAAGAGAAAUGCUGAGUUCAAGCUGCAAUAGUAAACAUAAUUGACUAGACAACUGUGGCUUGUUUAACUUUUUUACUUCCUGCAUAUUGGUAUGAGUUGUAAAUUACAUAUUGCAGUAGAUUUCUUUUGUGCUACAUUGAGACUGAACUCCGUUUCACAGACUGUAAGAAAGAUCAAGGAAAUGAAAUGAAAUGAGACCGUGAAACACUUUGUUUU